rnacentral:rRNA from 1 species
AGAGUUUGAUCCUGGCUCAGGAUAAACGCUGGCGGCGUGCCUAACACAUGCAAGUCGAACGCGCGUAGCAAUACGCGAGUGGCGGACGGGUGAGGAACACGUGGGAAUCUUCCCUCUGGGUGAGGAAUACCGGCGAGAAAUCGCCGACAAUACCGCAUAAUCUGCGAGAGCAGCAAAGCCGAAAGGCGCCUGAGGAUGAG